AUGUGUUGUAUAUCUUUGUGAAUAAUGAGUUUGCAAGAGAGUUUUGCCACAUGCAAUGCCAACAACUCAUUGAUUAAAUCUUAAGAAUGUGGUCUGGAAGUUGUUACAAUAAGGAGUUAAGACUAGCUUAAAACCUUCUAUGGCAUAGAAUGCAUGGUUGUCGUAUAGUUGUAUGUUUGUUCUGUAACAGUGCUUCGGAAAGCAGAGAAUCUCAAGGGGGGCUGAGGUGGAAGGAGUCUUGGAGAGGAAACUUUGGGGAAAGAUUGCAUAUGAGAGAGGAGAUGGAAUUUUAGCCUCCUUUCUUCUAGAAGCUGUCUUUGGCCAUGUUUGCUUAAGCUGUAACUCUGAGCAGUGUGGCCUUCCUCUCCUGCCCACAGCUGAUUGCCCAAGGGGGCCUUUGACCCAUGCUUCUCUGGGAGUUAUGACUGAGGACUUAGAAUAACCCUAAUGGCAGAAAUUGUAAGAGACAAAGCUUGGGGUUGCUGACAGAGUGGUCCUACCCUUUGGGAAAGUCUGUGGUGAGAGGGAAGAACAAAGCCGGUUGUAGAGGGGGCUGGCUGGAGACUAAACUGGCAGGUUCGAGUGCCUGGCUUCAUCUGGUCCUGUCCUUGACUAGCCCAAGACAAUCCAGCAUCCUUGUGUAUUAGUUUCCUGUGGCUACUGUAACAACGUACUACAGACAAGGCAGCUUUAAACCAAAGAAAUUUAUUCUCUCCAAGCAGAAGACCCAGGUCAAGUUGUUGGCACAGUUGGUUCCCUUUGAGGGCCCUGAGGGAGGGAAGUUGUCCAGCUCCCUUCCAGCUUCUGGUCAUGCUCGGCAGUUCCUGGCAUUCCUUGAUAUGGAGAUGCAUCGCUCCACCCUCUUCCUCUGCUGUUGCACGAAUGCUGUCUGUGUCUCUUCCCAUUGCUUUCUCUCUGUGUGUCUGUCUCUAUGUCCCUUCUCCUCUCUUGAUAAGGAUGCCGGUCUUAUUGGAUGUGAGCCCCCCUAGUGACCUCAUCUUAACUUGAUCACAUCUGCCAAGACUGUGUUUCCAAAUCAGGUCACAUUUACCAGUGCUGGGGCGAAGACUUGGACACAGUUCUAAGGGGAGGGGCGACAUAAUUCCACCCAUAACACCUUGUAAUAUAUCUUUUUCCUUAAGCUUCCUGGAAAUGAUCUCUGUCUCUUGCUCUUUCACUGGGAUAUGCAGGGAGGGCACCUUGGGCUGAACUUGAAGAUCUGAAGGCUGAGUGAAUGUGAGGGAAGGAAAACUGAAGUGAAUUAGGGAAGGAUGAGCCGGUGUUGGGAGGGCAUAUUUCAUUAGGAGCUGAAUUACUAGAAUGACUCAAAAGAGAGGUUUGUGAGGCUGUGUAUCUGUCAGUUCAACAGAGGAGGACAGACAGGAUUAGAACUGUUGGGACUCUUGCCUUUGGAAGAGAGAGAAGCCCAGCUAAAAACUGCAUCAGUAAAGGAGAGAUGGAAUUCCUAGCACAUGUAGCUGGGAAGACCGAAGAUAUUAUGUAUAAAGCAAAAUAAAACAUAACCAUUGCUCUUUUCUGCGGAAAUAUCAAGAAGAGCCAAGAAAUGUCUUGUUAUGAUGUCUAGAAAUUAGUAAUAGCAAUAAUAAUAUUUUAAAAAAUGAGCACCCUACUAUAUUUGAAUAAAUUGGUGAGUGGCCAAUUUUAUUUAUUUAUUUGUUUGUUUGUUUCUUUGCCUUUUUAGGGCCACACCUGCUGCGGGCAUAUGGAAAUUUCUAGGCUAGGGAUCGAAUCAGAGCUGCAGCUGCCAGCCCACACCCCAGCCACAGCAACAAGAGAUCUGAGCCACAUCUGUGACCUACACCACAGUACACCACAAUGCCGUAUCCUUAACCCACUCAGUGGGGCCAGGAAUUGAACCUGUGUCCUCAUGGAUACUAUUUGGGUUUGUUACCACUGAGCCACAACAGGAACUCCAAAUGGCCAAUUUUUAAACUAAAUGAUUACUUAAGUUAUACACCGUAUUACAGGGGUCUAAAGAAAGAGAAAGCUUUUUUAACAGGAAAAGAUAGGAAAANNNNNNNNNNNNNNNNNNNNAAAAAAAAAAAAAAAAAAAAAAAAAAAAAAAAAAAAAAAAAAAAAGAACGGGGAUUGAUGUCUAGCUGGUUCAAACAACAGACGUCUAUUCCAGGGGCCCAGGAUGUGAGUCUGGGUGGAAGGAGGUGGAUGGUAAAUUCUUUGAGGUCUGGGUGAGGGCGUGGCUUCCCUGGAGAGGCGGAGCCAGGGGGUACCACGGAGGAGCCUGGGCGCAGCCAGGACAACACCUGAGUCCUGACUGCCUGGGGGUUAGGGAGGAGGAAGGUGUGGAUGUGUAGAAAUAAUGGGAGACCCCGGAGAUAGCCUUGCUUCCCGUGGAGGGUUGGAGAACAUGCUGGAAGGACGCUGUGCACUGGAGGGAUCAGUGGCUUUUAGCUCCUUGCUCCUUGAAGAUGGAAGUGGAUAGAGGCCCUUAUCCGGUUCCCCUUCUGUCCCUUGCUGAGAGUUUCUGGGGUAAGAUGGACUGUCCAUUGCAAGAAGCACCUGCUGUGUUUCUUGUGCUCAGGUGACACAGGUGGGCUCCCCCUUGGUCUCACAGCUGGGAAUCCUGAUCCUGAGAAAAGUCCUUCCUGUCUCUUCAGGGAGGUGGGGUGACAGGUGGGGACCCAAGACCUCCCAGGCCCCUCCUCUUCCCUGAGGCCCUUACUCAUCCCCCGCAGAGGCACCCGGCCUCUGGGUGUAGGACGCUUUGGAGGUUCUAAUCACCUUCCUGGUUACUCCUCCCAGCAGUUCUGAAUCCACAGAUGCUCAGUCACCUGUUUACAGACAGGGAACCUGGUUCAUAGCGUGAUUUAAACCCCAGACCUGGGAAAGUGUGGGCCGAGGCUGUCUUUCCACCUGGUUUAUGGCUUCCCUCUCUGAGCAGUGCUGCCCUUGGCUCUGCUGAGAGUUUAUAACCGGCUCUCAUUUUGGGUCUGGCAGAGCCCCCUCCGGACUCAUAGGAGAGAGGAAGGCAGCCCCCCUUUCUGUGUGAGACGCAUCUUUUCUCCUGCCUGGCUACAACAGUCGUAAGCAAGACUGCAGUAAAUAAAUAGUUCAGUUCCCACCGAAAUUGCCUAUGCUGGAAUUUGAGCCUUAAAAAGAAACAUGAAUGAUGACUAGGAGAGCGCAUUCCUUUAUUUGAACCCCGAUGAUUCUAACACAGAUAGUAGAAAUGUGAGAAGCCUCAGCUAAGUGUGUUCUCUGGGUUAUAAAUUCCUUUUCUCUCUAAUGCCCCUGCCUUAUCUGGAGAUUCUCUUGGCUGCACUUUCUUCUUUCAUGUCUGUCUCCUUUAUUCACUGUGUGUUCCUUCUUUUCUUGGGUUUUACUAGCUCAGCAGCUGCAGCUGAAUCAAGCCAAGAAUAUUUGCUCCGGGUGGCGGAGGAGUGCUCUCCCUAGCCCCCGUCCCUGCUCUCUCCAGUGUGCUGCUGCCCUUCUGUAACUCUGUCCUUUCCAGAAUCAACCCUCCCCGAGCUUGGUUAAAAAAAAGUGAGUGGAUGACAAAACAAUUCCACAUCACCAGGCUUGUUGGGCUUUCAUUACCUCCCUCAAAACCAAGCCCCCACCCAGCAGACUCUCAGAGUACCUUCUCUGGCUGUGUCUACAGGAUGCUUUGAAAUGUAUUCUUAUUUUUCAACAAAAGAGCAGUAUGACCAGAGGCACUGUUGAAGUAUCUUAUCAACCAAGAGGUUUUGUUGCUGAGGCCGUGGCAAAUAAUGGUGGUUCUGGCAAAAUGGGAAAAAAAAUGGUCACUCACAGUUCUCAGAACUUAUGCUUGAAGGAAGCACACCUUGUGUGUUUUGGGGGCAGUUGCAGCAUUCCUCAUGGAACUUAAAUCUACCCUGGGAGUUGUAAUUGAACUUGAAAACACCCAAGGCUGUGGUUUCAGCUCUGCAGAGGGGUACAUAGAAGGCAGCUUUGGGGAAGAUCGGGUCAAAAGGAACCUAGAGAAAGCAAGGGGAAGAGGAAAAAUAUGCUGUAAUGACAGAGAUAAGCCCAACUUUAUCAGCUGUGAUGAUAUAAAGAGGAAAUAAAAAUCAGGCCGAAACAAAAUGACUCCAAAAGUUUUAAAACUAAUUAAAAAGAUAAUGUAGCAAUAGCCAUGCAGAUAAACUGGAACUCAAAAUGAGAAGAACUGAGACAGAUAUUUCAUGUUAAUAAAAAUGAACAUGCACCAAGGAGAUAUACCAGCUUUGACACUAUAUGCCUCAUCUUUCACAUAUUUAUAGCUACAUUUCUUUGCGUUUUAAGGAGAAAUUGACAGCCAGAAUGGAAGAGGUUUUAACACAUCCCCCUGGUAUUGGGCUGAGCUGUGGCCCUAAAGUAUGUCAACAUACUAAUCCCUAGAACCUGUAAUUAUUACCUUGCUUGUAAAGAGUCUUUGCAAAUAUAAUUAAGAAUCUUGAGAUACAAUCAUCCUGGAUUAUCCAGGUGGGCUCUAAACGCCAUCACAAGUGUCCUGAUGGGAGAGAAGCAGCAGAAGGAGAUUAGACCCACACUGAGGAGGCCGUAUGAAGAUGGGGGUAGAGCUUGGAGUGAGGUAACCUCCAGCCAAGGAGUGUGAGCAGCCACCAGGAGCAAGAAGAGGCAGAGAACGGCUUCUCUCUUAGGGUCUCAGGAGGGAGACCUUGCUUUUGGACUUCCCAUCUCCAGAACUGUGAGAGAAUACAUUUCUCUUGUUUUAAGCCACUGAAUUUGUGGUAAUUUGUUAUGGCAGCUACAGGAAACAAAUGCAAUUCUCAAAAAACGAACAGAGCAAGUAAAAGAAUAAUAAAGAAUAUCAAGGAUUUUGACACAAGGGUUUAUAAAAAUUUUUUAAAAAGAAUAUCAGGGACUUGGAGUUCCCACAGUGGUUCAGCAGCAACAAAUCUGACUAGCAUCCAUGAGGACACAGCUUCAAUCCCUGGCCUUGCUCAGUAGGUUAAGGAUCCUGCAUUGCUGUGGCUGUGGUGUAGGCUGGCAGCUAGCUACAGCUCCGAUUCAACCCCUAGCCUGGGAACUUCCAUAUGUCGGGAGUGCAGCACUAAAAAGACACACACACACACACACACACAAAAGAAUAUCAGAGACUUGAAAAAUUUAACUAACUCUACAUCCAAGUAUGCUCAUUUAAAAAAUAUAUAGGAAAAUUUAUUAAAAUUAACCAGAGUUAAUUAGUCCAGAGUUCCUGUAAGGGCUUAUUGGAUUAAGGACCUGAUGUGACGUAGUCUCUGUGAGGAUUUGGGUUUGAUCCCUGGCCUCGCUCAGUGGAUUAAGGAUCCAGCAUUGCCACAAGCUGUGGGAGAGGUCACAGAUGCGGCUCGUAACUGACAUUGCUGUGCCUGUGGUGUAGGCCUGCAGCUGCAGCUCCAUUUUGACCACUAGCCUGGGAACUUCCAUAUGCGGCAGUUGAGGCUGUAAAAAGAAAAAAAAA
rnacentral:lncRNA from 1 species